GUCUGCAAUGCAUGAUUAAUCACUAACUGAUCCAAGCAAUAACCAUGCAGAUUACAAUGUCAAGCUAUAUUAUAUGUUUAUCUUGUUCACUUAACCCAAAAAAUGUGCAAUGCUUUCAAUGCCAUAGUGUUGUUUCUUUCUGUGUAUCAUCUGGUUUGCUUCAGCUAUUGUGGCAGAGCAAACUUGCCUGUUAAUUAUUUGCA